rnacentral:rRNA from 1 species
GACGAACGCUGGCGGCGUGCCUAAUACAUGCAAGUAGAACGCUGAAGAGAGGAGCUUGCUCUUCUUGGAUGAGUUGCGAACGGGUGAGUAACGCGUAGGUAACCUGCCUUGUAGCGGGGGAUAACUAUUGGAAACGAUAGCUAAUACCGCAUAACACUGGAUGACACAUGUCAUUUAUUUGAAAGGGGCAAUUGCUCCACUACAAGAUGGACCUGCGUUGUAUUAGCUAGUAGGUGAGGUAAUGGCUCACCUAGGCGACGAUACAUAGCCGACCUGAGAGGGUGAUCGGCCACACUGGGACUGAGACCCGGCCCAGACUCCUACGGGAGGCAGCAGUAGGGAAUCUUCGGCAAUGGGGGCAACCCUGACCGAGCAACGCCGCGUGAGUGAAGAAGGGUUUCGGAUCGUAAAGCUCUGUUGUAAGUCAAGAACGGGUGUGAGAGUGGAAAGUUCACACUGUGACGGUAGCUUAACAGAAAGGGACGGCUAACUACGUG